UCCCUCUUAGCUCAGUUGGUAGAGCGCGUCACUAGUAAGGGUGUAAUUGGUUCUCUUAUCUGAGCGUCAAACCUGAUGACGAGGUCAGUCGUUCAAAUCGGCUAGCGGGAA